rnacentral:rRNA from 1 species
UCCAGGCAAAUCCGGAUAAUCAAGGCUGAGGUGUGAUGACGAGGCACUACGGUGCUGAAGUAACAAAUGCCCUGCUUCCAGGAAAAGCCUCUAAGCAUCAGGUAACAUCAAAUCGUACCCCAAACCGACACAGGUGGUCAGGUAGAGAAUACCAAGGCGCUUGAGAGAACUCGGGUGAAGGAACUAGGCAAAAUGGUGCCGUAACUUCGGGAGAAGGCACGCUGGUGUGUAGGUGAAGCCCCUGCGGGUGGAGCUGAGACCAGUCGAAGAUACCAGCUGGCUGCAACUGUUUAUUAAAAACACAGCACUGUGCAAACACGAAAGUGGACGUAUACGGUGUGACGCCUGCCCGGUGCCGGAAGGUUAAUUGAUGGGGUUAUCCGUAAGGAGAAGCUCUUGAUCGAAGCCCCGGUAAACGGCGGCCGUAACUAUAACGGUCCUAAGGUAGCGAAAUUCCUUGUCGGGUAAGUUCCGACCUGCACGAAUGGCGUAAUGAUGGCCAGGCUGUCUCCACCCGAGACUCAGUGAAAUUGAACUCGCUGUGAAGAUGCAGUGUACCCGCGGCAAGACGGAAAGACCCCGUGAACCUUUACUAUAGCUUGACACUGAACAUUGAGCCUUGAUGUGUAGGAUAGGUGGGAGGCUUUGAAGCGUGGACGCCAGUCUGCGUGGAGCCAACCUUGAAAUACCACCCUUUAAUGUUUGAUGUUCUAACGUUGGCCCCUUACCGGGGUUGCGGACAGUGUCUGGUGGGUAGUUUGACUGGGGCGGUCUCCUCCCAAAGCGUAACGGAGGAGCACGAAGGUUAGCUAAUCCUGGUCGGACAUCAGGAGGUUAGUGCAAUGGCAUAAGCUAGCUUGACUGCGAGCGUGACGGCGCGAGCAGGUGCGAAAGCAGGUCAUAGUGAUCCGGUGGUUCUGAAUGGAAGGGCCAUCGCUCAACGGAUAAAAGGUACUCCGGGGAUAACAGGCUGAUACCGCCCAAGAGUUCAUAUCGACGGCGGUGUUUGGCACCUCGAUGUCGGCUCAUCACAUCCUGGGGCUGAAGUAGGUCCCAAGGGUAUGGCUGUUCGCCAUUUAAAGUGGUACGCGAGCUGGGUUUAGAACGUCGUGAGACAGUUCGGUCCCUAUCUGCCGUGGGCGCUGGAGAAUUGAGGGGGGCUGCUCCUAGUACGAGAGGACCGGAGUGGACGCAUCACUGGUGUUCGGGUUGUCAUGCCAAUGGCACUGCCCGGUAGCUAAAUGCGGAAGAGAUAAGUGCUGAAAGCAUCUAAGCACGAAACUUGCCCCGAGAUGAGUUCUCCCUGAGACUUUAAGUCUCCUGAAGGAACGUUGAAGACGACGACGUUGAUAGGCCGGGUGUGUAAGCGCAGCGAUGCGUUGAGCUAACCGGUACUAAUGAACCGUGAGGCUUAACC